CGUCGAGAGGGCCCUACCCGCUGGUCAGAGGCGCCCCUGCGAGUGCGGAGCGGCCGCGGGCCCCGCGCGGGAGAGGCGGCGGGGAGAGGGCGGCCCGGAGAGUGCGGAGGCGGCAGGAAACCGGAGUAGCACAGAGCCCGCAAAACACUCUAGUUAACCCUUCAAGGUUUUCUCUGGCGCUUCGAACCUCUUCUGGCCCUUUUGCAUGUAUCCAUUUAUACCGACAUUAUCUGUUCACGUGACCGCUUGAAAACUCUCGGGUAAAUGUUACAGUCUGAUCAUUUCAGGGGCGGGGGAAUUCUGGGAAACACUUGGGGAUGUCGGGUGAAGUGUAACAUCAGAACAGCCACUUUGGUGAAAAAUUUUUUAUGAUAAUCUUUAGGUAGAUUUACUUUUUUUUUGGGGGGGGAGGUGUUUAAAAUGUGCAUGACCCAGCAAUUUCAUGUUCAAAAAAAAAUAGAGAAACUGCUACAGGUGUACACAAAAGGACAUGUUUAUAUUCAAGCCUGCUCCCUUUCAAAAAAAAAAAAAGAAAGAAAUAACAGAAAUGUCCAAUACGACAUGGAUGAUGAGAUAUGUUCCCAAGAUAAAAGAUUACGAUAAAAUAAGUAGCAACAUUUGAUAGCUCAUAGCAUGAGUUACUGAAAUGGUGACAUGCCAACAAAUUACAUACACUGUAAAAUGACAUAAAGUAUACUUUUAAAGUACAUAGAAUAACAGUAUAUCCUGAUUAUGGAAAACGUGCAUAUAGAAAAUGACCUGCAUGGAUAGAUGAAUAUACAAUGUGAUCAUGUUAUGAGGGCAGGAGGCAGGAGGGGUGGAAGCCAGGAUAGCUGGGGAGAGGGGAUAAACUGGACUUCAGAUCUGUCAUGAUGUUACUGGAAAGGGGACCUGGCCCUAAGUGGUUCUGCCUCAGGCUGGCCCAUAAUGUGUUGGUCCUUGACUUCAUGUAAAAAAAAAAAAAAAAUCA